CCUACGGGUGGCAGCAGUGAGGAAUAUUGGGCAAUGGGCGGAAGCCUGAACCAGCCAAGUCGCGUGAGGGAUUAAGGCCCUGCGGGUCGUAAACCUCGUUUGCCGGGGAGCAGAGGUCCGGACGUGUCCGUGCCGGGAGAGUACCCGGAGAAAAAGCAUCGGCUAACUCCGUGCCAGCAGCCGCGGUAAUACGGGGGAUGCGAGCGUUAUCCGGAUUGAUUGGGUUUAAAGGGUGCGUAGGCGGGCUGUUAAGCCGGCGGUCAAAUGACGGGGCUCAACCCCGGCCUGCCGUCGGAACUGGGUGCCUUGAGUGGGCGAGAAGUGUGCGCAAUGCGAUGUGUAGCGGUGAAAUGCAUAGAUAUCACGCAGAACCCCGAUGGCGAAGGCAGCAUACCGGCGCCCUACUGACGCUGAGGCACGAAAGUGCGGGUAUCGAACAGGAUUAGAUACCCCAGUAGUC
rnacentral:rRNA from 1 species